rnacentral:rRNA from 1 species
GGUGCUGCAUGGCUGUCGUCAGCUCGUGUUGUGAAAUGUUGGGUUAAGUCCCGCAACGAGCGCAACCCUUGUCCUUUGUUACCAGCACUUUAUGGGGGGCCCUCUAAGGAAACGGCCGGUAACAACCCGAAGAAGGGGGGGAAUAACUUCAAUUCUUCUGGCCCUUUACGGCCGGGGUUACCCACGUGCUACAAGGGUCGGUACAAAGGGUUGCCAACCCCCAGGGUGGAGCUAAUCCCAAAAAACCGAUCGUAUCCCGGAUCGAAUUCUGCAACUCGACUGCGUGAAGUCGAAAUCGCU